UUAUUUUGUUUUUGUAUAUAGACAUUUUUUACAGGUAGAGUUUGUAAAGUGCAAGUCCAAGGGGACACAGAAGUGUCCGAUUGACGCUUGCAGACAGUUCACAGGUGUUAUGGAUGUGUAUUCCCCCGUGCGCCGCGAGGGGCGCGCAGGACACCGCCCCAGCAUUGCUGCUUGGGCGGAUUAAAAUGAAAUUCACUAAUGAUCCUUCCGCAGGUUCACCUACGGAAA
rnacentral:misc_RNA from 1 species